GAGCUGGGAGGAACCGAGAGUGUGGCGCCCUGGAAGCCAGGAGCAGGUUCUGGAGGAGGAGCACGUUGAAGAUUCAGCUGAGGGACUGCCCUCUCCUGUUCUCUGAGGACUCGGAUGCCUGUGAACCACCAGACCGGAUGUCCCUGUGUGUGGCGAGGUCCCGUGGAGCCUGCGGGCCUGGACCCUGGGGGAGGAGCCUGCCCCCUGGCAGCGGCCGCUCCCUGCGUGCACCCAGCGCCGACCUGAGAUCCUCCAACUGGCUUAUCUCCUCCCCAGGCCUCAUCACACCUGCUUUGAACCUUCCCGUACCUUCUUUGAUCUCUCACCCGAGAGAAUCAGUUCGCCUGCCGUCUUCCGCCGCCUGGGCUGCUGGAAUGAAAAGACCGUCCACUGCGCGGCUUGGAAAGGAGGAGCAGAGCAUCCUUCUCACAGUUCCGGAGCCUGGGUGUCCGAGGUCCCAGGGACCGGGGACUUGGGGUCUGAGGAGAGCCGCUCCCUGGUCACCGAGGGUGUCUUCUCCCUGCGUCCUCGCUGGGCGGAAGGGGCAGGGCUUUGGGGGCCUCUGUUAUAAGGACACUAACCUCCCUCACUCCCUAAGCCCCGCCUCCUCACACCAUCGCGUGGGGGUGAGAUUACAACAUGUGAAUUUUGGGGGACGUGAACACAGCCGGUGCACCUUGCUGUCUUUGGUGUGAAGGAGAAGUGCUGUCGCAAUUGUUCCUCAACCCAGAGCUCAGUGGCCAUUUAUGAAGUCUGUGGCCACAGCCCCUGUUUCGUGUCUGGCCACGCUACCCGCCCCC